UUUUAAGAAAAAUGCGGGCUGAUGUAGGAAACAGAAAGGCUCGCGUCUUUCGAUAGCGUUCUCUUUACAGCCAGACACUCCCACCAGCGCUAGGCUUCCAGCCCGGAACGCUGUAUCCCGGGAGUGACGUCAGAAGGCAGCGCCGGGAGGAGGAGGGCGGUAUUUCCGGCAGCGUCUCCGGGGUGCUACCUCGGGCUGGUAUCGCCCUGUGGACGGAUCAGUGAGUUGCUGCCGUUCUGGUCCGUGUUUCACCGCAGAAGUCAACUCCUGGAGUCUCCUGCGCUCCGCAUCGGCGGCAGCCUAUCCUCCGCACUCCUGGUAUGCGUGUGGUGUGGGAAAAUGUGGGCGACGUUUAAGGUGCACACAGUGGCAUGUGCGCGAAGGCCCACAGAUAGGAGGAAGCCCAGUGAUUUAAUACACUGAGAA
rnacentral:lncRNA from 1 species